AUUGAACGCUGGCGGCAGGCUUAACACAUGCAAGUCGAGCGAGCGGCGGACGGGUGAGUAAUGUCUGGGACACUGCCUGAUGGAGGGGGAUAACUACUGGACACGGUAGCUAAUACCGCAUACCCUCAGAUGUUCCCAGAUGGGAUUCGCUAGUAGGUGGGGUAAUGGCUCACCUAGGCGACGAUCCCUAGCUGGUCUGAGAGGAUGACAAGCAACACGGGAACUGAGAAACGGUCCAGAAUCCUACGGGAGGCAGCAGUGGGGAAUAUUGCACAAUGGGCGAAAGCCUGAUGCAGCCAUGCCGCGGGUGUGAAGAAGGCCUUCGGGUUGUAAAGCACUUUCAGCGAGGAGGCGUUACUCGCAGAAGAAGCACCGGCUAACUCCGUGCCAGCAGCCGCGGUAAUAC
rnacentral:rRNA from 1 species